AGGACGAACGCUGGCGGCGUGCUUAACACAUGCAAGUCGAGCGGUAAGGCCUUUCGGGGUACACGAGCGGCGAACGGGUGAGUAACACGUGGGUGAUCUGCCCUGCACUCUGGGAUAAGCCUGGGAAACUGGGUCUAAUACCGGAUAUGACCUGCUCUCGCAUGGGGGUGGUGGAAAGAUUUAUCGGUGCAGGAUGGGCCCGCGGCCUAUCAGCUUGUUGGUGGGGUAAUGGCCUACCAAGGCGACGACGGGUAGCCGACCUGAGAGGGUGACCGGCCACACGUGGGACUGAGGACACGGCCCAGACUCCUACGGGAGGCAGCGAGUGGGGAAUAGUUGGCUACAAGUGGGACGAAAGCCUGAUCGACAGCGACGCCGCGUCGAGGAU
rnacentral:rRNA from 1 species